rnacentral:rRNA from 1 species
UGGGGAAUAUUGGACAAUGGGGGAAACCCUGAUCCAGCGACGCCGCGUGGGUGAAGAAGGCCUGCGGGUUGUAAAGCCCUUUCGGUUGGGAAGAAAAGUUGCGACCUAACACGUCGCGACCUUGACGUAACCAACUAAAGAAGCACCGGCUAACUCUGUGCCAGCAUCCGCGGUAAUACAGAGGGUGCGAGCGUUAAUCGGAAUUACUGGGCGUAAAGCGCGCGUAGGCGGCUUGGCAAGUCGGGUGUGAAAUCCCCGGGCUCAACCUGGGAACUGCAUUCGAGACUGCUUUGCUAGAGUAUGGGAGAGGGAAGUGGAAUUUCCGGUGUAGCGGUGAAAUGCGUAGAUAUCGGAAGGAACAUCAGCGGCGAAAGCGACUUCCUGGACCAAUACUGACGCUCAUGUGCGAAAGCGUGGGGAGCAAACA